CCUAUCGCUGUUAGAUGCUUUAUAAUCCUCGACGCACUUCCUUGAAAGGCAUACGUGUGCGAAGAGGGUGGGAUGUAAUCCGUGAAAACUCGCGCUGGAAUAAAUAGUUUAGCAUUUAAAGGAGAUAUACUACUCCAACCAACCAACCAACCAAUCAAUCAAUCAAUAAAAGUAUCUAAGAGGGGAGCCAUGUUAGCCGGCUGCAACAGGCAUCCUGAAGAUGUAAGGACUUGACAUAAGCUUUUGGAAACUUAUUAGAUUCAUGAAGUGUGACCUCAAAAAUAACGCAUGGAGGUACUUUCCUUGCUGAAUCAUGUGUUGUUGCAGCAGUAACAGCUGACUGCUGUGUUUGUGUUCCAAGAAAAGGAAUGGUUGACAUCACACAACAAAACAAUUUAAGAAGAAGGGAAUGGAUUAUUCAGCAUUUUUCCUGCCUCAAGUUCAACAGGUUUAUUACUGGAAAAUAAAGAAGAGUUCCGUUGGCGACCCGAGGUGCUAAAAUCUCAACACCAACAAAGCAAGUGUGCAUAAGAAUAUAGAGAGAAUGAAACGCAACCAAAGGGGAAGUAAAAGGGGUUCAGAAGUGUUUUUUGACAAA